rnacentral:misc_RNA from 1 species
GAUGAAGAACGUAGUGAAAUGCGAUAAGUAAUGCGAAUUGCAGAAUUCAGUGAAUCAUCGAAUCUUUGAACGCACAUUGCGCCCGCUAGUAUUCUGGCGGGCAUGCCUGUCUGAGCGUCAUUUCAACCCUCGCCCCCGGCUUUUGCUGGGAGCGGUGUUGGGGAUCGGCCGCCCGUCACUGGGAGGCCGGCCCCGAAAUAGAGUGGCGACCACGCCGUGUGCUCCUCUGCGUAGUAGUAAAUCACCUCGCAGGCGGACAGCGGUGCGGCCUGCCGUAAAACCCCCAACUCUUUCUGGUUGACCUCAGAUCAGGUAGGAAUACCCGCUGAACUUAAGCAUAUAAUAAGCGGAGGA